AGUCCUGAUUAUCUGGUCAGUUAGCUCCCCUUAUCUCUCCACUCGCCUCAUCAAUAACAGCAACCUUGGUGUGUGGACAGUCAGCCGGAAGAUCUUUUAGUAACUUCUAUUGGAAAUGCUUCUGCUGAUAACUAUGUGCUUGGAAGGCAGCAUGUUGGUAAGGGAAGCUGCUCAUUGGUUAAAUAACCCUCGAACUGGCGAUGCAAUUUCAUUGGUCAGAUAUGGAGGAUGAAUCUAGUGAGUAUGACUUUUUUAAUCCACAUUUGUGAAGGCACAUAUCAAACUGAUCCACUUCCCUAUGGGGCUAACGUCUAAAAAAACAAUUGAUUUAUGCUUAUGUUUAAUAUUAUUUUAUAUAGGAACAGGUGUUGAAAUGUUACAAAAUUUGCCGUCUUCACUGAACUGGUGAUUCAAUUGAAUGCCUUCCUUAACUUGGAAAAACUUUUAAAAUCUGUUUUAUUGCCAUUAAUAUACCUCAAAUUAUCCAUAAAGUAGAAAUUACAACCAUGUACUUUCAUAGACUUCUGUUUAAAUUCUUAUGUGUGUCUUUGCACACAUUCAAAUUUAUCUUAUUGGUCAUUGCUUCUAUUAAUGAACAAAAUACAACAUUACAAAUCUUCUUCUCUUCUUAGAUUUUAUUUUUACUCAUUUUCUUUUACAGUCAAAUAUUUUCCAAGGAGUUGGUGGAGAACAAAACAGAUCCAAAUGAGAAUGAAUAUCAGACUGACAUUGAUUGGCCGGCAAUAAACAAAAUAAAAUGAAUACUAAUGUUGCUCUUUCAAGCAAAAUCGUUGAUCCGAUUCUGCUUGAUAAUUUGAACCAUUCAAAUUUGAGUGGUUAAAACUAUCUACAUUUCUAAAAUUGGUUGCCUUUACUUGCGUAUUUCAUAUUUCCUUUUUAUGUAAAAACAAUUAAACACAGUUGUUAUAAAAUCUAGUCAUUUGAUCUUCAUACUAAUCUGAUGUAAAAGUUAUCUUAACUUGUUUUAAAGGUGUAAGAUCUGAGAUAUGUUAAAUAUAGCGAACACAAACUGACAGGUGCAGAUGUGCUGACACAUCUAAGAGUGUUUAGGGGGUAGAUCUUUUUACACACCGAUAGAUUAUCAUUAUUAUAUAUUAUUUACCGGAUUGUAAAAACGAUUGUUUUCUUGCUAACUUUCUUUGCAACAUAAUUCAGUGAGCUGAGACAUAUUUUGUAUUUGAGUACUGCUUUUAAUAUUAAGACAUGCACAUGUUGUGUCUAUCAUUAAUCAACAUGUUUCAUUAUUUAGGUUUGAGUAUUGGAACCCAGCAUGUUCUGCCUUAAUGAUCUUGAUAGAUAGAUAGAUAGAUAGAUAGAUAUAUUGAUACUUUAUUGAUCCCUCAAGAGGGAAAUUUUGGUAUCACAGCAGCAUGUACAGGGAAGAAAAUAGAAAUAAAAGAUACACAUUAUAUACAAUAUAAUAAGAUAAAAAAUAUUAAAUUAUUCAAUAAACUAAAAUAAACUAAAACAAAAUAAUAACCUUCAAGAAGAGACAGUGCAUGGAGCCUUGGUAGAGCCUUCACAAUGCUGUCAUCUUUGUCCAAGUUAAUCUUUACCCAAUUCAUUACCGAAAGAGAAAGGAACCUCAAACACAUCUCUGUAGCCCCCCUCCCCUCUCUUUCCAUUUGACUACAGAUGUGUGUGGUUUGACUCAAAGAAGAACUGUUGUCACACUGGCUCCAGCAUUUUCUGACAAAAAGAGACAAAGCAAAGAAGUGCUUUGUCCCAUCUAUCUCUGUUCCAAAUAAUCUGAUCAAAAGGAGCCUGUUGGUUCAAAGAGAAUCAAAAUUGGAUUCAGAGCAGA
ensembl:lncRNA